UAGAGAACACUAGCAAUGAGAUUUUUGUGGCUUGUGAUUUAAUCAUUUGUAUGAUGCAUAUAUUCAGUUGUUGCAAGUACUCCAGGAUCCUGACUUGCUGCAUGCGCGGAAAGAACGACAGCAGCAUCAACAACGGAGUAUAGAUUUGAAAGAGCAGCAGCAGCAGACGCAAAGCGGAGGUCAAGAUGUUCAGAAUGGUGUGAACUCAACACCGGGCAUGGUGAAUGGACUAAACCCAGCAACAGCUGCCGCCUACAUGAUCAACGGGGAACAAGGCAUGGAAAUGCUGCCUCAGCUCGAGAAUGGUGUUGGUGCUGCAGGAUCUGCUGGUUCAACGCCACCGCCCGGUAUUUCUAAUCUCGGUCUGCAUAAUGGUUCGGCUAUGUACAACAACUUGCCGAACAAUGGCAUGCUCCCUUCUGGUGGCAAUCACAACGGUUCAGCUACUCCUGAUUGUGGUACACAUGGUAGUAGUCCUGGCCUGAUUUCCAACGCUACAGUUCCUACAGGUCAUAUUUCUGCUGGCAAUAGGAAACGGCGAUGUACCGCCCAAUCCAUGGUCAACAAUGAGGCCAGUUCGUGGCAAGCUGAUCCAAAUGUGGCAAAUCAGCGCCGGGAUAUAAUCUACAAAUUGUGAGUUCUGUUUCCAUAGUCCGGUUUGCGUGUGCUUGACGAAGCGUUCACAUAUAUUUUAAUACUAGUUACUAGUUGCAUUGCCUUGUAAUACUGGUCUGAUAUCAGGCUGAAGAAGCGUCAACACUGAAUACCAGGCGCACUUGUC